CUCCAUGUAUGUUUAGGGCCUGUCUGCUGUGGCAGCCUUCCUCCCUAGCCAUAGAAGAGCAUAUUUUUGUUUUUGGCAAAGCUGUCACCAUUUAGUUGGUACCAGAUUCUGAUUUGCACAAGUAACAUUC
ensembl:snoRNA